GAUGAACGCUAGCGGCAGGCUUAACACAUGCAAGUCGAGGGGUAUUGGUUUUCGGACCAAGAGACCGGCGCACGGGUGCGUAACGCGUAUGCAAUCUACCUUUUGCAGAGGGAUAGCCCAGAGAAAUUUGGAUUAAUACCUCAUAGUAUAGUACUUUGGCAUCAAGGAACUAUUAAAGUCACAACGGCAAAAGAUGAGCAUGCGUCCCAUUAGCUAGUUGGUAAGGUAACGGCUUACCAAGGCUACGAUGGGUAGGGGUCCUGAGAGGGAGAUCCCCCACACUGGUACUGAGACACGGACCAGACUCCUACGGGAGGCAGCAGUGAGGAAUAUUGGACAAUGGGCGCAAGCCUGAUCCAGCCAUGCCGCGUGCAGGAUGACGGUCCUAUGGAUUGUAAACUGCUUUUAUACGGGAAGAACACUCCGACGUGUCGGAGCUUGACGGUACUGUAAGAAUAAGGAUCGGCUAACUCCGUGCCAGCAGCCGCGGUAAAGUG
rnacentral:rRNA from 1 species